AGAUCGCUGAGAGUUUAUUGUUCCUAGCGAUGCAGGGCGCGUGAACUCUUCUACUACCUCAAGGGUAAGCAGGUGGACUAUGGCGAGGAGCACAGCAAGGCUUGCGGCCACAACAGGUUUGGGAGAAUAUAUCACACAGGUCACUAUCCUGUUUGUUAUGAGCACAACCCAGUGCAUUUUUGUGGGGCACUCUGCUGGCGCGCAGGUUGUGAGGGUGCUGCAUCAGAUGCUUGCCGACAAGAGGGAUGGUUCAUGUGAGCUGGAGUACAGGAUUAGAGCACCCAAAUUAGGAAUUAGUCAUGCCUAUCAUCCCGCUUGAGACGAAGGAUGAGCUUGGGCUGCUUCAUCCAGCAUUCAAGGCUGUGAAGACUUCCACAUGAUAAUUAGAGUACAGUUCCACUUGUUUAUUUUGUUGGCUCGUUCUAGAUCCUGUUAGGUCUAUAAUCCAAAGUGUUCUUUUUUUGUAGAAUCUGGUGACAACAGAAGUUUGGGUUGGGGUCAUGGGAUGGAUAUCUUUGUUGUAAUGUGAGGUGUUAGGAGAAUUAUGUUAUGUUUAUUUAUUGGCAUAAGUUAUGUCUUACACGUACAAAUGAGUUAAUGGAUGAACUCAAGUUAUUGGUUCAA